rnacentral:rRNA from 1 species
GAUGAACGCUGGCGGCGUGCCUAAUACAUGCAAGUCGAGCGAACAGAUGAGGAGCUUGCUCCUCUGACGUUAGCGGCGGACGGGUGAGUAACACGUGGAUAACCUACCUAUAAGACUGGGAUAACUUCGGGAAACCGGAGCUAAUACCGGAUCAUAUAUUGAACCGCAUGGUUCAAUAGUGAAAGACGGUUUUGCUGUCACUUAUAGAUGGAUCCGCGCCGCAUUAGCUAGUUGGUAAGGUAACGGCUUACCAAGGCAACGAUGCGUAGCCGACCUGAGAGGGUGAUCGGCCACACUGGAACUGAGACACGGUCCAGACUCCUACGGGAGGCAGCAGUAGGGAAUCUUCCGCAAUGGGCGAAAGCCUGACGGAGCAACGCCGCGUGAGUGAUGAAGGUCUUCGGAUCGUAAAACUCUGUUAUUAGGGAAGAACAAAUGUGUAAGUAACUAUGCACGUCUUGACGGUACCUAAUCUGAAAGCCACGGCUAACUACGUG